rnacentral:rRNA from 1 species
CCUACGGGAGGCAGCAGUGGGGAAUAUUGGACAAUGGGCGAAAGCCUGAUCCAGCAAUGCCGCGUGUGUGAAGAAGGCCUUCGGGUUGUAAAGCACUUUUAUCGGGAGCGAAAAGCGACGGGCUAAUACCGCGUCGUGCUGACGGUACCCGAUGAAUAAGCACCGGCUAACUUCGUGCCAGCAGCCGCGGUAAUACGAAGGGUGCAAGCGUUAGUCGGAAUUACUGGGCGUAAAGCGUGCGUAGGCGGUUUCUUAAGUCUGCCGUGAAAGCCCCGGGCUCAACCUGGGAAUGGCGGUGGAUACUGGGAAGCUGGAGUGCGGUAGAGGAGGGUGGAAUUCCCGGUGUAGCGGUGAAAUGCGUAGAGAUCGGGAGGAACAUCAGUGGCGAAGGCGGCCCUCUGGACCAGCACUGACGCUGAGGCACGAAAGCGUGGGGAGCA